GAUGAACGCUGGCGGCGUGCCUAAUACAUGCAAGUCGAGCGAACGGACGAGAAGCUUGCUUCUCUGAUGUUAGCGGCGGACGGGUGAGUAACACGUGGAUAACCCACCUAUAAGACUGGGAUAACUUCGGGAAACCGUAGCUAAUACCGGAUAAUAUUUUGAACCGCAUGGUUCAAAAGUGAAAGACGGUCUUGCUGUCACUUAUAGAUGGAUCCGCGCUGCAUUAGCUAGUUGGUAAGGUAACGGCUUACCAAGGCAACGAUGCAUAGCCGACCUGAGAGGGUGAUCGGCCACACUGGAACUGAGACACGGUCCAGACUCCUACGGGAGGCAGCAGUAGGGAAUCUUCCGCAAUGGGCGAAAGCCUGACGGAGCAACGCCGCGUGAGUGAUGAAGGUCUUCGGAUCGUAAAACUCUGUUAUUAGGGAAGAACAUAUGUGGAAGUAACUGUGCACAUCGUGACGGUACCUAAUCAGAAAGCCACGGCUAACUACGUG
rnacentral:rRNA from 1 species